GAUGAACGCUAGCUACAGGCUUAGCACAUGCAAGUCGAGGGGAAACGGCAUUAAGUGCUUGCACUUUUUGGACGUCGGCCGGCGCACGGGUGAGUAACGCGUAUCCAACCUUCCCAUGACUAAGGGAUAACCUGCCGAAAGGCAGACUAAUACCUUAUGGUCUUCACUGACGGCAUCAGAUGUGAAGUAAAGAUUUAUCGGUUAUGGAUGGGGAUGCGUCUGAUUAGCUUGUCGGCGGGGUAACGGCCCACCAAGGCAACGAUCAGUAGGGGUUCUGAGAGGAAGGUCCCCCACAUUGGAACUGAGACACGGUCCAAACUCCUACGGGAGGCAGCAGUGAGGAAUAUUGGUCAAUGGGCGAGAGCCUGAACCAGCCAAGUAGCGUGCAGGAUGACGGCCCUAUGGGUUGUAAACUGCUUUUGUAUGGGGAUAAAGUCAAUCACGUGUGAUUGUUUGCAGGUACCAUACGAAUAAGGACCGGCUAAUUCCGUGCCAGCAGCCGCGGUAAUACGGAAGGUCCGGGCGUUAUCCGGAUUUAUUGGGUUUAAAGGGAGCGUAGGCUGGAGAUUAAGUGUGUUGUGAAAUGUAGACGCUCAACGUCUGACUUGCAGCGCAUACUGGUUUCCUUGAGUACGCACAACGUUGGCGGAAUUCGUCGUGUAGCGGUGAAAUGCUUAGAUAUGACGAAGAACUCCGAUUGCGAAGGCAGCUGACGGGAGCGCAACUGACGCUGAAGCUCGAAGGUGCGGGUAUCGAACAGG
rnacentral:rRNA from 1 species